UACGGAGGGGGCGAGCGUUGUCCGAAGUUACUGGGCGUAAAGCGCGCGUAGGCGGGUUGGUAAGUCCGCUGUGAAAGCCCGGAGCUCAACUCCGGAGGGUCGGUGGAUACUGCCAGUCUUGAAGGUGCUAGGGGGAGAUGGAAUUACCGGUGUAGCGGUGAAAUGCGUAGAUAUCGGUAGGAACACCAGUGGCGAAGGCGGUCUCCUGGGGCAUUCUUGACGCUGAGGCGCGAAAGCUGGGGGAGCAAACGGG
rnacentral:rRNA from 1 species